GAGCGGGGCGGGGCGAGGUAAAUCCGCGCGCAGCUCCGAUCCGUUAGGCGCCCCGACUGGCGGGGCAGCACUGGCGCAGUGGCUCCGCUCGGCCCGGUCCCUGUCCCGGGAGCGGGGCCGGCCUGGGAGCGGGCAAGUCCGCCUGAAGGGGAGGCGGGGGCCAGGGCUUGGGCGGGGGGCGGGGGGCGGGGAAGGGGCCGGACACGCUUGCGCACACGGUCGGGAAGCCGACAGCCGCGAACGCCGCGCUGGAGGGAGGGCGCACCGAGAGAGGGAGGGCGCGGAGAAAGGAGGGAGCUAAGAAGGGAGGGAGGGCAUCGAGGAGGGAGGGCGCGCCGAAGGAGGGAGGACGCAGAGAAAGGAGGGAGUAAGGAGGGAGGGAGGGCGCAGAGGAAGGAGGGCGAGGGUGUGAGGCCGCGGGGAGACUGGGGUUGGCCUGGAGGCCUCCCUGGCCUGGAGAGAGACGGCCGGGGUGCGGGAGGCUGGAUCGGGUGAGGGCAAACCCAGGGCAAGCGCUGCCUGUGAAUGGCUCCAAGAUGAGUAUGCCCAACGUUGCCUCUAGCACUGAUCCCACGCUCUCCUGGAAACAAUAACCAAGAAAGGCUUCUUUGCUGUCCCCGCGCGGUUAAAAAAAAAAAAAGUAUCCUUUUCUCUCUACAGAAACUCAAGAACAGGAAUAGAAGUCCAUCCUUCCAAUAUCCUCCCAUGCCCUCAUGGCAGUCAGGUGACCUAAAUUGACGAGCCUUUUCUCUGCCCCAGGCCGGCCUAUGCGCCCCAAACUGCUCCCUUAGCUCUUCCUCCUUUGCAUACCCUCUCUUAGCCUUGGAUAACUUCUCAGUUUCCGUUCUUGCUGAAGGCGCCAGGCAUCCUGUCUCCAGAGGAAACCCCUUCAAGCCUUUAACCCUGAUGCCGUGGGCUCUAGAAUUGCCUGGACUGCAAACAGUGCAGAAACCACCCUGCAGGACUGUCCAUUUCAGGAGUCAGCACAGUGUUACCCAGUUCCUAGCUUGAGCACCCUGGGGCUACAAGGAAAGUAUUAGAUCCAGUCCCCCUUCCCCCGGAAGCUUGCUAUCUAGUUGCAGAGAAGGGGUGGCGGGUGUUGUGCUGGACUCCCAUCAAGAAACAGGCGGCACAGGAUGUGACUAAGUGUAAGUAAGAUGUGAAUAACUGACAGUAAGUGCCCAGGGUUUUAACGGAGUUUAAAGUCAUCGUCAGGGGAAGCUGGAGGUCUCAUGUGUUGGGACUCUCCAAUUCACAACAAAACGAAGAGGUGGCCUCCAGCUUCUUCCAUUCCGGCUGUUUCCAUCUGAAUUAUACCUUGCAUAGGUGGAAGCUCUUUGGCAGCUCACCAAAACCUAGUUUUAUUUGAAUGGUACCUUUGGCCUGACAGUCACCUAGUCACUCAACAAAUAUUUAUUACAUUUCAUGUCCUGGUCUGGAGCUAAGCUGGGAAUAGACAAUACAAUGACUAUGUCUCUGUGUUUGGCAAGGGAAAAAGAAGAAGGCAAAAGAAAAACUGCUCGGGGAGAAAGAACAACUGAAAUAUGUCUGGCAAGUUGAUUCAAGAAACAGUUGCCCGGCCUCCAAACCUGGAUAAGUCUUCACCAAACUAGGUACAAAGACAAGUUCUUGCUAAAGGAGGAUACAAUUGUCCAUUGUGCUGGAGAGUGAUCUCAUGGUGCUACGUGUGGCCCUGUUCUGGUGAAGAGUGGCAGACGUCACCCUUUCUGAGGUAGGCUCCUGCCAGCUCCAUGGCUGAUCAUCAGCCCUUGAUACCCUGAAGUCUGUAGCCUUGAGAUUCUGUGAAGUGAAAGGCUGAUCAGAUGGUCCCCAGUCCCUCCACUGCAACCAGAUCAUUUUGCCCCGAUAGUGUUUUGAAAUUUCUGGCUGCCCCUUAUGAGUUUGUUUUGUCUUUCUGCCUAGAUAGCAAACCCAAGGCCAGGGUUCUGAUGACCAAAUAACAGAGGCAAAGGCAGGCUUUGGGGGGUUGCAUCAUCUGAUUCUCAGGAAAAUGUUACCAAUUCCAGGCAUCUAUCCCCAGCCCCCCUCAACUUAUCAACAACCUCGACACACACACAGGGUGUAACCUCGUUACUGGGGAGCAAAGGCGGAAGUGGCAGCUAAAGCCUCUUCAGACUAUUUCCGGAAAGGUUUUGAAUUUGGUUUUAAGAGUGGGAGUGAACUUGUCCAAAAGGAGGGUUGGGGAGAGAGGAACACGGCAGUAGAUUUGGAAGGAGUGUGCAGGGAGCAGGGCAGACUUGGGACAAGGGAAUCAAUAGGUUCAGAAAGCCUAAGGAGAUGGAGGAAGUCCUCGAACCUUCCAGGAAGCUGUGACUCACCAGCUGUGACCACACUCUGAAACUUCUCACCUUUCCCAAGAGGUCCCUACCAGUUCUGCCAACUCCCCUUCCCCCACAUCUCCACCCUACUGGGCUACACCAUCAGUCCUCACCAAUCAGAAAGUUCUUUAUUCUCAUGUGAGGAAUAAACCAGUACAAAAAAACAUCUUACACUUGACCUUUGCUGAAAGGCCGAGAAACUACAAAAUGCAUUUUAGGGAAAUCCCUUAGAGAUAAAAACCCAGCCCACACUACCCCAGGCCCGACCCACUAGUUCCUCUCUUGCUGGGCCUUCUGCAGGAGCUGAAGCAGGGGGUCAUCGGUCCUGAGGGCAAAAGUAAGAGUGCGCUGUUGAUAGUGCUUGGGGUCACACUCCAGGUUCUCGAUCACUUGAGCCAGCAGGUGUGCCCGCUCCACCCCUGAGCCCGGAGCCUCGAAGCCCAGAGCUGUGAAAUGCACGUGCAGGUGAUAGUAAGAGGGCAGGUAGUGUAGGUACACUCGCAGACGGUCUCCUGUCACCUGGUAGCGCUUCAGGAUGGCUUCCUGGUAAGGAAAGACAGUGAUAAGGAGAUCAUGUUGCCAGGGAGCAAGCACCCCAGUCACUGACCUCCCCAACCCCAUCACAUCCUUGCUACAGUUGCCCUGGGAUGGCUACAAAACAGUCCAGCUCUCUGCCCCCUCACCCCCAUAGAUCUUGGUCUUCUAAGAUAUUUGAAAAUAGGGAGACACAGCCAAACUGAGCCAUUCCUAAAUGGACAUGAGCCUCAUCACUCCAAGCCUCAGGAAACAUGGGCUUCUUCCUUUGGGAGUCCCUGUCUCAGCUCCUAAGUUGGCCCAGAGUCCCAAGACUGCAGACCUGUAGCACCUGAUCAUGUGUGAAGUAGGCAGGAGGCUGUGUGGAGGUGGUGAGCUAGGAACUUGGUAAAUGGAAAAGAUGCUGGGAGUGACUUGAAGGGCUGAGACUUCCGCAGGGCUCCUUGCAGAAGAAGAAAGCACUCAAGUUGGCGCUGGUUCCUUUUUCCCAUCCACCUUGCUCAGGCCUCUGUGGGCUCAGAAUGUAGCCCCAAAUCAUACUCUGUCUUUGGUGCUACCAAUAGAGAAUCACAGCAGCAGGGUGACCUGGGCGUGUGUUGCUUGGUGGGAUAAGCAGAGCCUGCCAAACUGUUGGGGCAGGGUCUUCCCUGAGAGAACACCACUCUGUGCCAUUGAGGGUGCCUACCUGAGAAACUAGUGGCUCCAUAAAGGAAGAGGCUAGAAAGGCACCAAGUGGAGAAGGCAGUUAGGGCCCAGGGGGAUGUGAGGCACUGUGGUAGGGGAGGAGUACUUCCUGGCUGGGCAACUUGUAACUGUUGGCCCCUGGCAGGACAGAUGGUUUUUACAUAGUCAAGAAAAAAGGCUGAGGUUCACUGUGUGCAGUGGUGGCUUCAAAAGGAAUCCCAGCCAGAUCCUGAGGUCUGAAAGUAAGCUGUUCAAGGGCCCUGAGACAAGAUUCAAAUAGCAAGGCCAGGAUCACAGACCAAAGCUGCUAGUCACUCUCCUUCCACUCUCUCUCUCUCUCUUGCUCCGAUGGCUCCUUUCCCCAUCCCAUAAUGUCCCAGACAGAAAGUACCUCCAGAACAUUGGGUGCUACAGAAUUUGGCCAGCCUUCAGUCUAGGUGAGAAGGUAUGUGUAUAGACACAAGUCAAAGUCAUGUGACCAAUAUCCAAGGAACUCAUCUGGCACGUGGUGGUUGUCACGAACAAGACAAAUCUGGGGUGGGAGGGACACAAGCCUGUGGGGUAGAGGGACCUACAGAUGAAGGGCAGGUCUGAGGGCAAGGAAGGGUAGGUGCAAAGAGAGCUGGAGUGGUGGGCAGGACUGUCUAUGAAUUAACCUAUGACUUCUAGUCGCAUUCAUGAUUGAACUCCAGGUAGACUGAGAAGUGUAAGGAAGAAGACCCAGGGGGACACACUGGAAUGCGCUACAAGUGUAGGCUUGUGAAACAAGCAUUGUGAAACAACUCACUUGUCCUUCCCGGAGAAUGUUCCUCAGUAGUGGCAGAUGCUCUGGAGUGAGAUCUCGAAGUGAUCUGAUACCCCGGCGAUGGCAGAUGGCGAUCAAAUACAGGUCAUCAAGCUGUGCAGAGACCACAGGACAAAACAAGACAAUGCUAGUUUUAGCAAGGAGGCUACCAGCCAGGGCACUCCUACCCCCCAAGGCCAAUCCAGAAGACCCUACAGCAGAGCCAAUGAGCGGGUACCCGAGGUAUGUCUGCCCUGGAUGUCAAGGGAUAGCUGAAGAACAAGAUUUCUGUGUAUUCUUUGGAACUAGGUGUGGUGGUACACGCCUGUAAUCCCAGCACUCAAGCAGAAGGACUGAGGGUUCAAAGUCUCUCUGGGCUAUACAGCAAGACCCUUUCAAAAAAGAAAUUGAGAAAGGAAGAAAAACUAUAAAACAAAAAUUUCCAUCUGGGAAUGUUUACAUAAACUAAGGAGUUGACAGGAAGAGACGGGCAAGUUCUGAAAGCCAAGCACAAAAGUCUUUGUCCUGAAGAAUUUACAACUUCACUUAAGUGCAUGUCGUUCUCCUGUAUGAAAUAAAUGUUGCAUAAAAGCAUGGCAGCUUUUUGUUUCUUUGGUAUGACAGAACCCAGGGUCUUCUGCAUGCCUAUUGCAAUCUCUACUACUGAGCGACUUCCCCAUGACACGCAGUGAUCAGCACGCAAGAGGAAAGAGUCCAGGUAGCCGGGUGACCAGAAAGUCUUCCGAGGGAAGGCAGGGGAUCUGGAUCUGGAGAGAACUGUGAGAGUGAAGGUUCAGAGAGGGUGGCAGCUCAAUGUAUGCAGGACUGUGGGGGACACACAGAGGAAGCGUCCCAGGGGCCUGUCAGCUAUUUUUCUCUUUUCCUAUCUCAGUGGCUCACAGAAGACCUUUCCUGCAGUUCUUCCUGUAAAUGGAGCUUGGCUAAAAACCGGGAGGUCAAAACAGAGCAAAGAACCAGUGUCAACAAGAUCUUGUGCCAGAGAGCAAAUGAAAUGUCUCUCUCGCCCGGAAACCCCUCCCACACCCUCCCUGCUCCCCAAACCUUGGCCUUGCUUGGUUAUCACACCCAUGUGCCAGGCUUCGGAGCCAAAUCCAGACACAAUACAGCAGCCCCUAGUCCUGAGAUCUGACCUGCUAGAUUACUCAAGGAGAUAAUUUGGGGACCAUGAAUCGUCCAGCCAAAUCCCCAAGAGCCCUAACAUAAGAACUGGGAAUGAGAGCAUCCCUAUGAUCGAUGGUGUCCAAGUAUGGCAUUCUUUUGGUGGUAGUUGUUCUUCCCACCAUUGUUACAGGAACCUGGGCUGUGCCCCAAAGCUGCUGUGUGAGCUGUGCCCACCAGGCCUUUCUUUCAUGACAAAUCCUACCUGGAUUCUCCCUUCUCGUCUUGUGCCCAGGUCAUGUGCUUACUUAGUCCAAAGGGAAACCAGGAAAUAGGUAGGAGGUAUUGAUUUUGAGCACAUGUUUUGGCUGUAGGAUGUGUCACUAUCACAGGACACUCAGAAUAGUAAAAGCAUGUUUUAACU
rnacentral:lncRNA from 1 species